rnacentral:rRNA from 1 species
UGAGGAAUAUUGGUCAAUGGAGGAAACUCUGAACCAGCCAAGUCGCGUGAAGGACGACGGUCCUAUGGAUUGUAAACUUCUUUAGUAGGUGAAUAGAGGCAUGUACGUGUACAUGUAGGCAUGUAACCUAAGAAUAAGUAUCGGCUAACUCCGUGCCAGCAGCCGCGGUAAUACGGAGGAUACGAGCGUUAUCCGGAUUUAUUGGGUUUAAAGGGUGCGUAGGUGGCACUUUAAGUCAGUGGUGAAAAGCUGUGGCUCAACCAUAGUCUUGCCAUUGAAACUGGAGAGCUAGAGUACAGAUGCUGUAGGCGGAAUGCGUAGUGUAGCGGUGAAAUGCAUAGAUAUUACGCAGAACUCCGAUUGCGAAGGCAGCUUACAAAACUGUAACUGACACUGAUGCACGAAAGCGUGGGGAUCAAACA